GCUGCUGGAACGAGACCCACAAGGAGAACGGGGCACCCGUCCUGGUGUACGAAAACCUGCCCCCUACAGCCUGGGCGGGGCCAGUGGCCCAGCCCAGGAUCCCCCCUGACCCCAGCCCCACAUACCAGAUGCUGCAGCCCCGACAGCCGGACGUGUAUGAGGAGCUGAAAAAGUGACGCCCCCUCCUGCCCCCCAGCGCAAGGCACAGGGUGCCGGGGGGUUCACAGGGCCCCCGGCUCUAACGUCUCCAGACCAGCCCCCAAAGGGGCUCGGAAGGUCCCUGCCCAGGACCGGCAGCGCUGGGCGCGGUGACCGUGGUGAGCCGUGUGCCGGGGGCACAGCCGGAGCUGUGUCUGGCCUGGGUCCCAGGGGCUGGUUCCAGCCGGGCAGCGGGAGGCACCAGGCCUGUCCCUGGCAGACAGGAGGCACCGGGCCGUUCUCUCUGUGCCCGGCUCCGGGGGCGCUGGGUGGUGCCGAGCUCGCCAGGCAGCUGGUUCCACCCGGAGCCAGGCCCCAGCAGUGUCUGCACCAGCCCUGGGGAAGCAGCGGGCAGGGAAAAGCGCGCGUGGAGGAUGGUGUUUCU